CGGGACGUGGCGCAGUUUGGCAGCGCGCAGCGUUCGGGACGCUGAGGUCGCGGGUUCAAAUCCCGCCUUCCCGA
rnacentral:tRNA from 1 species